GUGGCAGCAGCCGCGGUAAAACCAGCACCUCAAGUGGUCAGGAGGAUUAUUGGGCCUAAAGCAUCCGUAGCCUGCUCUGUAAGUUUCCGGUUAAAUCCAUUAGCUUAACUGAUGGGCCGCCGGAAAAACUGCAAAGCUAGGGAGUGGGAGAGGUAGACGGUACUCGGUAGGAAGGGGUAAAAUCCUUUGAUCUAUUGAUGACCACCUGUGGCGAAGGCGGUCUACCAGAACACGUUCGACGGUGAGGGAUGAAAGCUGGGGGAGCAAACCGGAUUAGAUACCCGGGUAGUCCCAGCUGUAAACGAUGCAGACUCGGUGAUGCCCUGGCUUGUGGCCAGUGCAGUGCCGCAGGGAAGCCGUUAAGUUUGCCGCCUGGGAAGUACGUACGCAAGUAUGAAACUUAAAGGAAUUGGCGGGGGAGCACCACAAGGGGUGAAGCCUGCGGUUCAAUUGGAGUCAACGCCAGAAAUCUUACCCGAGGAGACAGCAGAAUGAAGGUCAAGCUGGAGACUUUACCAGACAAGCUGAGAAGUGGUGCAUGGCCGUCGCCAGCUCGUGCCGUGAGAUGUCCUGUUAAGUCAGGUAACGAGCGAGAUCCCUGCCUCUAGUUGCCACCAUUACUCUCAGGAGUAGUGGGGCGAAUUAGCGGGACCGCCACAGUUAAUGUGGAGGAAGGAAGGGGCCACGGCAGGUCAGUAUGCCCUGAAACCUUGGGGCCACACGCGGGCUGCAAUGAUAGUGACAAUGAGUUCCUAAACCGAAAGGUGGAGGCAAUCUUCAAACGCUAUCACAGUUAUGAUUGAGGGCUGCAACUCGCCCUCAUGAAUAUGGAAUCCCUAGUAACUGCGUGUCAUUACCGCGCGGUGAAUACGUCCCUGCUCCUUGCACACACUGCCCGUC
rnacentral:rRNA from 1 species